ACACUGAGGCGUGACGACGAGGCACUACGGUGCUGAAGCAACAAAUGCCCUGCUUCCAGGAAAAGCCUCUAAGCAUCAGGUAACAUCAAAUCGUACCCCAAACCGACACAGGUGGUCAGGUAGAGAAUACCAAGGCGCUUGAGAGAACUCGGGUGAAGGAACUAGGCAAAAUGGUGCCGUAACUUCGGGAGAAGGCACGCUGACACGUAGGUGAAGUGAUUUACUCAUGGAGCUGAAGUCAGUCGAAGAUACCAGCUGGCUGCAACUGUUUAUUAAAAACACAGCACUGUGCAAACACGAAAGUGGACGUAUACGGUGUGACGCCUGCCCGGUGCCGGAAGGUUAAUUGAUGGGGU
rnacentral:rRNA from 1 species